CGGAUAGAGCCAGCGAAGUCGCUCGUAUUCAGCCAAAGGCCGGCGGCAUCGGUGUGUCGGGUUGCUAAUCACGCCUGGCGCGCCUUUUGCUUCUGGUUGAGGUGCAUUUGCGGGCGUUUGCGCUGAGACUUGCGGAUCAGCUUCUGGACCCGGGCCUAGAGGCCGUCCUCGUGGCGGAACUUGGGCACGGCGACGGUUGUUUGGUCUGCUCGUACCACGGCUUGGCCUACGGACAGGGGCGCUGUCGUUGCUUUCGGGCGUUGGCAUCGCUUGCGAUGACUCGUUCGGGGGUUGCGGUGGUGCUUCUCGUUCCCAAGUCGGCUCUCGGUGUAAAAGCUGGUCACCUAUCCGACCCGUCUUGAAACACGGACCAAGGAGUUUAGCGUAUACGCGAGCCAUUGGGUGUAAAACUCACAGGCACAAUGAAAGUGAAGGCCCAGCCGCUGGGCUGACAUGCGAGUUGGUGGGCCUCGGCCUGCCGAUGCAGCAUGGUCCCGUUCCAGUCGCUUGCGGCGGAGCGGAGACAGAGCGUAUGCGCUGAG
rnacentral:rRNA from 1 species